CAUCGAGCUUUGACGAGUUGUAGCUGGCCUUCCGAGGCAUGUGCACGCUCUGCUCAUCCACUCUACCCCUGUGCACUUACUGUAGGUUGGCGUGGGCUCCUUUGCGGGAGCAUUCUGCCGGCCUAUGUAUACUACAAACACUUUAAAGUAUCAGAAUGUAAACGCGUCUAACGCAUCUAUAAUACAACUUUUAGCAACGGAUCUCUUGGCUCUCGCAUCGAUGAAGAACGCAGCGAAAUGCGAUAAGUAAUGUGAAUUGCAGAAUUCAGUGAAUCAUCGAAUCUUUGAACGCACCUUGCGCUCCUUGGUAUUCCGAGGAGCAUGCCUGUUUGAGUGUCAUGGAAUUCUCAACUUAUAAAUCCUUGUGAUCUAUAAGCUUGGACUUGGAGGCUUGCUGGCCCUUGUUGGUCGGCUCCCCUUGAAGGCAUUACCUCGAUUCCGUACGGAUCGGCUCUCAUGGUGAUAAUUGUCUACCCUGUGACCGUGAAGGGUUUUGGCAAGCUUCUAACCGUCCAUUAGGACAACUUUUUAACAUCUGACCUCAAAUCAGGUAGAACUACCCGCUGAACUUAACCAUAAUAACCGGGGGAAAAAAA
rnacentral:rRNA from 1 species